rnacentral:rRNA from 1 species
UACGAAGGGGGCUAGCGUUGCUCGGAAUUACUGGGCGUAAAGCGCACGUAGGCGGAUUGUUAAGUCAGGGGUGAAAUCCUGGAGCUCAACUCCAGAACUGCCUUUGAUACUGGCGAUCUCGAGUGCGGGAGAGGUGAGUGGAACUGCGAGUGUAGAGGUGAAAUUCGUAGAUAUUCGCAAGAACACCAGUGGCGAAGGCGGCUCACUGGCCCGGUACUGACGCUGAGGUGCGAAAGCGUGGGGAGCAAACAGG